ensembl:lncRNA
AAAGGAAGGCCCUGCAGCAGAACGAUCUCGUAAGUCUGAUAAUCUUGGUCUGAUUAAUUUAGUGUUUUCCUGUUCAAAUGGGAUUUGGUGGUCCUCAAGGAAAAAAAACACUGGAAUUGGUGAAAGCACACGGGAACGUGCUGCGAAUAGGCUGGCAAGAUUGUAGGGGUGCAGCAGAAGAAACACGUCGAGGAAUUAAUCUCCAUUUUUUACCUGCCAAUCAAAAUUAGAGUAGCAUCCUUGAACAACAGGUAAUAGCAGCAGCAACAACAACAAAAAUAAAUAAGCAAAAUGGAGGAUUUCACCCAGGAUAAAUUUCUCCGAAGAGAAGAAGGAAUCACAGUCAGUCUCUGCAAGAGAUCACCACCAUCUUUGUGACUUAUGUGAAAAAGAAUAUCAAGGAGGAAGCCUUUGUAGAAGAGUGUUCCAUGUGAAGCUUUCCUGACAUAGGACAAAAAAAGACCUAUAUGCCAUACAGACUGGAAGCAUUACAACAGGAACUUUGUUUUCCCAUGAAAAGCAAAUGGUAUUUUUCCUUCAACUAUAGUGGCUCCAGAAAUGUCAGUAUAGGAAGUCUUCAGCCAGCGGACUGCAUUUCUUUUCAAAAGCAUAAGGUUAGUGAGUGUGGUGAGAAUCAUUAGGAGCUUGUAAGUCUGAAGGAACCUCAGAUCCAUCUGCUGGACUAUUUGCUCAAUGACUCACAGGAGGGUGAAAGGUUGAAUUAUCUUCAUUCAAGAAAAUAGAUAGUUCUUUCCAAGACUCCAUGCAUCGAAGUGAUUGAUCCCUUCUACAAACAGACCCUGAAAUUGGCUUCCAAGACAUUAUAAAUUCCCCAGAGGAUGAAGACAUAAUCUGAAUGUGCAGAAGACUUCGAAGACUUCUCUUGCCUGCAGGUCAGAAAUCUUUUAUUGGCAGUAGAUAAAACAAGAUAACAGUAUCAAGAGGCAUUAAAAAUGUAUCAUCAAAAUCUUGUGUUGAUAAAAAUCCAAAGUAAUACAGAUGUAUUACAAGAGAGGGAAGAUUUUUUUAUUAUUAUUUCCAUUUCAAAAUGUUAUUUUAAGAAAAUUCAAUAAUAAUUAUAAUAGCAUAUGGUAAUGGAUAAAGACGGAAUUCUGGGAGGGAAACGGUAAAAUAACUUCAGAGCACCUCGUGUGUUAAGAAGUGGUUGUUUUUUCUGUUUUGUAGGUGGGGAAAUGUUUUUCUGAAUCCCACUGACACUAAGUAGAAAUGCAGUAAGCAGUACGGUACUACAUUGAACAAUUACGGAAGUAGUAGCUGAAAAUGCAGAAAAAUAUAUGAUUCAUUCUGACUGCUUGGCUGAGCAUGGCUAAAAGCUUUGCCUGAUCCUAUGCAGCCAGCGCUGCAGACUGGAUCAAAAUUCUAGUUUUAUCAAAACUAAUGAAUAUCUGAAUAAAUUAAUUAUAUUUUAUUUUAUGAAUAUGUAAUUUUUUACAAAUAAGUAAACUCUGAUUUUCAAAAAUCUUUUUUUCCUCACGUUGUUUGUGAAUCUCCAAUGUUUUUAAGCAAUAGAAAUACAGUAACAUUGCUAAGUAUGCUCCUUGUCUGUAAUUAGAUCACAGCUAUAUUUGAAUCAUAGUUACGUAUUUCCAUUUUUUUUCCUGAGCUGUAUUUUAAGUCACUGUCUUUUAAAUAAAAACCUUCAUCUUUAAC